CGACAAACGGAACAUUUUGCACCCAGAACACAAGCGCUGCGGUUAUACGGCACUGGUAUGGAAGUGGAGUGUAUUGGACGACUCUGAAGGCGACAACAAUGAUAUUCGGCUCGGAACACUUCAUAGCAAUAAACAAAAAUGAUCGAAACAGGAUGAAUGAGACAUUCUCGAAAUGCCCGAAGUGGGAAGAGACUGCAAAUAUUCUGGCAUGUUGACGACAGUGGGUUGAAGGCCUUGCAGUGACACACCCUUUCAUUUUCCUCUGUAAAAUCUCACAGAAACAAGAUGCAAUGUAAAUGAAGCAUCUGAUACGUGGAAAGAAAGUGGAAUAAAUUGUUGU